rnacentral:lncRNA from 1 species
UUUAAAAGCUUUAACUGUAUUUGAGUUUAUGGCUGGGAAAUUUGUGCGGAUUUUAACUAUAGUACAAUAUGUUGCUUUAGUUUAAGCCAUUAAACUCUUCACGCAAAAUAUAAUUCUCUAAAGUAUCAGCCUUUAGCUUAAAAUUUAGUAAACUUUCUGAUAUUUGGCCCUUGAAUUCAAAAUGCAUUUUAAACUUUUAAAUUUCAUGUGCAAUCUAUUUUUAAUACUGCUAAAACAUAACCAGAAUUGGUAGAAAGUUUUACUUGCACAGUUUUCAGGGGCGGAUUCAGACAGGUUUGACAGGGCAGGUUUACAUAACCCUGACAGAUUCUCCAAAGAAAGAAAAUCUAUAACCUUCCAAUUUCAUAAAAUUGAUGUUAUCUAAUCUACUAUUGAAAUUUGAUUAUGGACUACCGAGAGUAUUUAGACCAACUGACGAUUGCUUUGGCGAUUGAGAAUCAGUUAAUGAUUGCGAAG